AGCUUUGGCAGUGGCAGUAUCAUAGCCAAUGGGGUUUAUCUGAGGUGUGAUUAUUACUAAUUGAAAACUUUUCCAAAUAUACCGCAGUGACGACUUGAAUUAUAGUCAGCAUUGGCAAUUUUUGACAGUCUCUAUGGAUA